rnacentral:rRNA from 2 species
GUAGUCGGUCCCAAGGGUUGGGCUGUUCGCCCAUUAAAGCGGUACGCGAGCUGGGUUCAGAACGUCGUGAGACAGUUCGGUCCCUAUCCGUCGCGGGCGCAGGAAAUUUGAGAGGAGCUGUCCUUAGUACGAGAGGACCGGGAUGGACGUUCCGCUGGUGUACCAGUUGUGCCGCCAGGCGCAUCGCUGGGUAGCUAUGAACGGCAGGGAUAAACGCUGAAAGCAUCUAAGUGUGAAGCCCCCCUCGAGAUGAGAUUUCCCAUUCCUAUAUGGAAGUAAGACCCCUGAGAGAUGAUCAGGUAGAUAGGCUGGAAGUGGAAGUGCAGCGAUGCAUGGAGCGGACCAGUACUAAUCGGUCGAGGACUUAACCAA